rnacentral:rRNA from 1 species
AUACGUAGGUGGCAAGCGUUGUCCGGAAUUACUGGGCGUAAAGGGCGUGUGGGCGGGGGAACAAGUCGGAUGUGAAAAACCAUGGCUUAACUGUGGCGCUGCAUCUGAAACUGUUUUUCUUGAGUGCUGGAGAGGAAAGUGGAAUUCCCAGUGUAGCGGUGAAAUGCGUAGAGAUUGGGAGGAACACCAGUGGCGAAGGCGGCUUUCUGGACAGUAACUGACGCUGAGGCGCGAAAGCGUGGGGAGCAAACAGGAUUAGAUACCCUGGUAGUCCACGCCGUAAACGAUGGAUACUAGGUGUAGGAGGUAUCGACCCCUUCUGUGCCGGAGUAAACACAAUAAGUAUCCCGCCUGGGGAGUACGACCGCAAGGUUGAA